GAUGAACGCUAGCUACAGGCUUAACACAUGCAAGUCGAGGGGAAACGACAUCGAAAGCUUGCUUUUGAUGGGCGUCGACCGGCGCACGGGUGAGUAACGCGUAUCCAACCUGCCCAUCACUUGGGAAUAACCUUGCGAAAGUAAGACUAAUACCCAAUGACAUCCCACGAAGACAUCUGAAUGGGAUACAAGAUUUAUCGGUGAUGGAUGGGGAUGCGUCUGAUUAGCUUGUUGGCGGGGUAACGGCCCACCAAGGCAACGAUCAGUAGGGGUUCUGAGAGGAAGGGCCCCCACAUUGGAACUGAGACACGGUCCAAACUCCUACGGGAGGCAGCAGUGAGGAAUAUUGGUCAAUGGGCGAGAGCCUGAACCAGCCAAGUAGCGUGCAGGAUGACGGCCCUAUGGGUUGUAAACUGCUUUUAUAAGGGAAGAAAGUGGGUCUCGUGAGACUUUUUGCAUGUACCUUAUGAAUAAGGACCGGCUAAUUCCGUG
rnacentral:rRNA from 1 species